UAGGGAAUAUUAGAAAUGGACGAAAGUCUGAUCUAGCAACACCGCGUGUGCGAAGAAGGCCUUCGGGUCGUAAAGCACUUUUUGGAAGGAAUAGGAAGGAAUGUACUUCCAGAAUAAGUCUCGGCUAACUACGUGCCAGCAGCCGCGGUAACACGUAGGAGGCAAACGUUACCCGGAUUUACUGGGCGUAAAGCGCGUGUAGGUGGUACUGUAAGUAGGGCGUGAAAGCUCCUGGCUCAACUGGGAGAGGCCGUUCUAAACUGCAGAACUAGAGGAUGGUAGAGGGAGGUGGAAUUCCAGGUGUAGCGGUGGAAUGCGCAGAUAUCUGGAGGAACACCAGUGGCGAAGGCGGCCUCCUGGACCAUUCCUGACACUCAGACGCGAAAGCUAGGGUAGCAAACG
rnacentral:rRNA from 1 species